AAUGGCUUCGUAUUACACGUAGUUAUCUAUGUAGGGUAUAGGGUCCAUCGUUUAAUACCCUUCAUAGGAAGCGGAAUACCAAAUGACUUCGUAUUACACGUAGUGCACUAUGUAGGGUAUAGGGUCCACUGUUUAAUACCCUUCAUAGGAAGCAGAAUACCAAAUGGCUUCGUAUUACACAUAGUGCACUAUGUAGGGUAUAGGGUCCACUGUUUAAUACCCUUCAUAGGAGGCGGAAUACCAAAUGGCUUCGUAUUGGACGUAGUGCACUAUGUAGGGUAUAGGGUCCACUGUUUAAUACCCUUCAUAGGAAGCGGAAUACCAAAUGGCUUCGUAUUACACGUAGUGCACUAUGUAGGGUAUAGGGUCCAUCGUUUAAUACCCUUCAUAGGAGGCGGAAUACCAAAUGGCUUCGUAUUGGACGUAAUGCACUAUGUAGGGUAUAGGGUCCACUGUUUGAUACCCUUCAUAGGAGGCGGAAUACCAAAUGGCUUCGUAUUGGACGUAAUGCACUAUGUAGGGUAUAGGGUCCACUGUUUGAUACCCUUCAUAGGAGGCGGAAUACCAAAUGGCUUCGUAUUACACAUAAUGCACUAUGUAGGGUAUAGGGUCCACUAUUUGAUACCCUUCAUAGGAAGCGGAAUACCAAAUGGCUUCGUAUUGGACGUAGUGCACUAUGUAGGGUAUAGGGUCCACUGUUUGAUACCCUUCUUAGGAAGCGGAAUACCAAAUGGCUUCGUAUUGGACGUCCACAAGAUGUCCGCAUCCAGAGGCGGGACAUGUAUGGUUCUAGAGAGUAUUUAAUUGGACGAUCACAAACUUCUUACUACUUAUGAAUAAUAAUAAUAAUUUUUUUUUUUUAAACAGUAAUGAGCUAUAAAAUUAAAAUGAGAACAUCUCCGAAGCUAUUUGUAUCCCCCCCAACUGGUGUGUAUAACCCUAAAUACAGAAAGCUCCUUGAUUUCAGGGGCCCUUUAAAACAAGUUCCCAGGACAACAAGUAAGCCAAGGCCAAGCGAAAGCUCCGGUGUGUUGCUCAGUCCCAUGGAGAUCUAACUGACUAGCUUCAAAAUGUUCGCUAACGUACACACCAUAUGAAAUAACGCAUGGUGAGCUAGUUAGCUAAUCAAGAGCGUCAAUACAGACACAAACACGUAUAUAAAGUCGUCGUCCUGAUCGUUUUCAGGUGGGUCGUGCCGCCAUUUUGUUUCAACAUAGACCCCAAGUAAUAAUUUGUUUUCGCUAAAGUCAGUAGAGAGUACGGUUUAUUUUCUCGCGUUGGGUAACGUGAGAAAGGAGCGCGGUUAAACGAGUGGAUAAAACUGUCCAGUAAUCUCAACUCGCAGGUUAAAUCUGACAGGAUUAGUGCUGUUAUUAGCGUAAGGAAAGUAUUAUUAAUACUUUUAUGAAGUAAUAAUAAAUAAAAACAAAAC
ensembl:lncRNA